GAUGAACGCUGGCGGCGUGCCUAAUACAUGCAAGUCGAGCGAACAGACGAGGAGCUUGCUCCUCUGACGUUAGCGGCGGACGGGUGAGUAACACGUGGAUAACCUACCUAUAAGACUGGGAUAACUUCGGGAAACCGGAGCUAAUACCGGAUAAUAUAUUGAACCGCAUGGUUCAAUAGUGAAAGACGGUUUUGCUGUCACUUAUAGAUGGAUCCGCGCCGCAUUAGCUAGUUGGUAAGGUAACGGCUUACCAAGGCAACGAUGCGUAGCCGACCUGAGAGGGUGAUCGGCCACACUGGAGCUGAGGCACGGUCCAGACUCCUACAGGAGGCAGCAGUAGGGAAUCUUCCGCAAUGGGCGAAAGCCUGACGGAGCAACGCCGCGUGAGUAAUGAAGGUCUUCGGAUCGUAAAACUCUGUUAUUAGUGAAGAACAAAUGUGUAAGUAACUAUGCACGUCUUGACGGUACCUAAUCAGAAAGCCACGGCUAACUACGUG
rnacentral:rRNA from 1 species